UACGAAAGGGCCUAGCGUUGUUCGGAAUUACUGGGCGUAAAGCGCACUUAGGCGGCUUGGUAAGUUGGGGGUGAAAUCCCAGGGCUCAACCCUGGAACUGCCUCCAAAACUGCUAGGCUAGAGGAUGCGAGAGGUUGGCGGAAUUCCGAGUGUAGAGGUGAAAUUCGUAGAUAUUCGGAAGAACACCAGUGGCGAAGGCGGCCAACUGGCGCAUUUAUGACGGUGAGGUGCGAAAGCGUGGGGAGCAAACAGG
rnacentral:rRNA from 1 species